rnacentral:rRNA from 1 species
GCAGAGCACUCCUAGGGAGGCAGCAGUGGGGAAUAUUGCACAAUGGGCGCAAGCCUGAUGCAGCCAUGCCGCGUGUAUGAAGAAGGCCUUCGGGUUGUAAAGUACUUUCAGCAGUGAGGAAGGUGGAUAUGUUAAUAGCAUAUUCAUUUGACGUUAGCUGCAGAAGAAGCACCGGCUAACUCCGUGCCAGCAGCCGCGGUAAUACGGAGGGUGCGAGCGUUAAUCGGAAUUACUGGGCGUAAAGCGCAUGCAGGUGGUUGUUAAGUCAGAUGUGAAAGCCCGGGGCUCAACCUCGGAAUUGCAUUUGAAACUGGCAAACUAGAGUACUGUAGAGGGGGUAGAAUUUCAGGUGUAGCGGUGAAAUGCGUAGAGAUCUGAAGGAAUACCGGUGGCGAAGGCGGCCCCCUGGACAGAUACUGACACUCAGAUGCGAAAGCGUGGGGAGCAAACAGGAUUAGAUACCCUGGUAG